ACACCGGCAGCCCGAGUGGUGGCCACUAUUAUUGGGCCUAAAGCGUCCGUAGCCGGUCCGGUAAGUCCCUGUGUAAAUCCUCAGGCUCAACCUGAGGAAUUGCGGGGAUACUGCCGGACUCGGGGCCGGGAGACGCGGAGGGUACUCCAGGGGUAGCGGUGAAAUGCUGUAAUCCCUGGGGGACCACCAGUGGCGAAGGCGCUCCGCGAGAACGGGCCCGACGGUGAGGGACGAAAGCCAGGGGAGCGAACGGAAUUAGAAACCCUAGUAGUCC
rnacentral:rRNA from 1 species